CUACGGGGUGCUGCAGUGGGGAAUAUUGCACAAUGGGCGCAAGCCUGAUGCAGCAACGCCGCGUGAGGGAUGAAGGCCUUCGGGUUGUAAACCUCUUUUAGCAGGGAAGAAGCGAAAGUGACGGUACCUGCAGAAAAAGCACCGGCUAACUACGUGCCAGCAGCCGCGGUAAUACGUAGGGUGCAAGCGUUGUCCGGAAUUAUUGGGCGUAAAGAGCUCGUAGGCGGUUUGUCACGUCUGCUGUGAAAAUCCAAGGCUCAACCUUGGACUUGCAGUGGGUACGGGCAGGCUAGAGUGCGGUAGGGGAGAUGGGAAUUCCUGGUGUAGCGGUGGAAUGCGCAGAUAUCGGGAGGAACACCAAUGGCGAAGGCACAUCUCUGGGCCGUAACUGACGCUGAGGAGCGAAAGCGUGGGGAGCGAACAGGAUUAGAUACCCCAGUAGUC
rnacentral:rRNA from 1 species